UGUGUACUCCCUCUAUUCCAAAAUACUUGACUUCCAUUUGUCCAAAAAUGGAUGUACCUAUAUACUAAAACAUGUCUAGAUACAUCUAUAUUUUGACAAAUAGAAGGCAUGUAUUGUGGAACGGAGGGAGUAGAAU
rnacentral:pre_miRNA from 1 species